rnacentral:rRNA from 1 species
AGUGAGCGCUGGCGGUAGGCUAACACAUGCAAGUCGAACGGCAGCACAGUAAGAGCCUGCCCUUAAGGGUGGCGAGUGGCGGACGGGUGAGGAAUACAUCGGAAUCUACUUUUUUGGGGGGGAUAACGUAGGGAAACUUAAGCUAAUACCGCAUACGACCUUAGGGUGAAAGCAAGGGAUCUUCGGACCUUGCGCGAUUGAAUGAGCCGAUGUCGGAUUAGCUAGUUGGCGGGGUAAAGGCCCACCAAGGCGACGAUCCGUAGCUGGUCUGAGAGGAUGAUCAGCCACACUGGAACUGAGACACGGUCCAGACUCCUACGGGAGGCAGCAGUGGGGAAUAUUGGACAAUGGGCGCAAGCCUGAUCCAGCCAUACCGCGUGGGUGAAGAAGGCCUUCGGGUUGUAAAGCCCUUUUGUUGGGAAAGAAAAGCAGCAGGUUAAUACCCCGCUGUUCUGACGGUACCCAAAGAAUAAGCACCGGCUAACUUCGUG